AGCGAACGCUGGCGGCAGGCUUAACACAUGCAAGUCGAGCGCGUGUAGCAAUACACGAGCGGCAGACGGGUGAGUAACACGUGGGAACGUGCCUUUUGGUUCGGAAUAACUCAGGGAAACUUGAGCUAAUACCGAAUAAGCCCUUCGGGGGAAAGAUUUAUCGCCGAAAGAUCGGCCCGCGUAAGAUUAGCUUGUUGGUGAGGUAACGGCUCACCAAGGCUACGCACUUUAGCUGGUCUGAGAGGAUGAUCAGCCACAUUGGGACUGAGACACGGCCCAAACUCCUACGGGAGGCAGCAGUGGGGAAGAUUGGACAAUGGGCGCAAGCCUGAUCCAGCCAUGCCGCGUGAGUGAUGAAGGCCUUAGGGUUGUAAAGCUCUUUUAGCAGGGACGAUAAUGACGGUACCUGCAGAAAAAGCCCCGGCCAACUUCGUGCCAGCCGCCGCCGUAA
rnacentral:rRNA from 1 species